rnacentral:lncRNA from 1 species
ACACACUUUGGGGCAGAUUGUAGAACAAAGUUCAGGCAUCAUGUGAGGUAAUAUUUUCCCUGUGAUAUGGCAAGCACGUUCUGGAGUCAAAAUUGUGCCUGCAAAACCAUCCUGUAGAUGAUGGUGUUGCGAUGAUCUUCGAAAGAUCCACCCUCAACUUUGACAGGGGAAAAAGUGGGUAGCCCUGCACUCUUGGUCUUGUGAAGCUUUGCAAUCACAUCUUCAGCUGUCAAUACGAAUAAUAGGAGAUCGAAGGAUCAGAGUUGGAGGCGUCCUACCAUUGUGGACCCCUCCUUAGUUAACCUUCGAAUAGCAACGCAUGUCUGAUGCCGGGGUUCCCUGGCUAUUCAGAUUGCUGCCUUUUCCAUGAAUGCAUCAGAGCUCGACUUCACAGUCCUUUCAAUGCUCGAGGCUUUGGCUAGGCAGCUUCACUACAGCACUACAGAACACACACAGCUCGCAACAGAGGAAGCUGGUGGUUUAUAAUCAGUACCCUACGUUUUCGCAGGUGGCUAUGGUCGUCUUGUCGACCAUGACACUUUUCUGAGCGCCGCGUUGCUCUCUGGGCAAAUCCGUCACAGUGAGGGCUAUAGCCUGCCUGCAGGCUAGCACCUGUACUUCAACUGGUGAGCUGCUGACUCCUUGCUCAUUGCCUGCCAAUGUGGCCAAUUGUGAGUGUGUAAUGCAAAACAGCCAGGGACAACUUGUUCAGGGAUGGAGACUUUUGCAAAACAUGAGGUGGUGCUUGACAAACGGGGGUUGGGAUUUGUCUGGGAACCCCACCUUUGUGUAUACAAUCAACCUACAAAUUUUGUGUAUAUAAACCAGCAGGACCAAGCAGAUACGUAUCUGCAUGGUCCUGCUCUUCUCUGUAUUCGUAUGUGUAAUAUGCUGUGUGACUCUGCUAUAGCGGUUGCGCAACAUUGCAUGCAUUGUUGUGGUAUAUAUUUCAAUGUAACGGUGGUAUACCUUAGACGGCAGGGCAUCUGAAUGUAAAGUAGUCUUCCUUUGCACCUGUGCUGGGACAAUAUGCAGACUAGAAAUGGUGGACUAAUGCACAUAAGCAGUCCAUGUGUGUCUGCGUACUAUCGCCCUAAGUCUGGCCACCAGUGCACUGGUGCAGUUAAGGCAUCAGCACGUCCAAGUAGCAGUGUGACAAGGUCUUUGACUGCAUUUAUCAUAGUGCAAUAGAUUCGUUUGCCCUACUCAUGGCGCUCGCUCUGCUUUGUAUGUUUUGCAGUGCAGUGCAAGACAAGCUUGAGCGUAAUUUCGUUGGCCAGAGCAUUUUGAACACUCUCGCACAAGAUACAUAUCAGCGCAU